UACGUAGGGUGCAAGCGUUGUCCGGAAUUAUUGGGCGUAAAGAGCUCGUAGGCGGCUUGUCACGUCGACUGUGAAAACCCGGGGCUCAACUCCGGGCCUGCAGUCGAUACGGGCUGGCUUGAGUGCGGUAGGGGAGACUGGAAUUCCUGGUGUAGCGGUGAAAUGCGCAGAUAUCAGGAGGAACACCGAUGGCGAAGGCAGGUCUCUGGGCCACUACUGACGCUGAGAAGCGAAAGCAUGGGGAGCGAACAGG
rnacentral:rRNA from 1 species